AACAUGUAUCAAUCUCUAUAUAUACACAAGAUCGGGAUUUUCUUUGAAUUUAUCUAAAAAAAAAAAAUCACAUUUGUUUGAUCUACACGCAGCAUCAAAGUUUUUAUGGCCACAAUGAAAAUCAUAAAUCAUGUUGGUCGCCCUAUCAGUGCGGCAGUGCACCUGCAAACCCUAUACGCAACCAUUAUGAAUACUCUCAUGGCUGAAACUUUGGAGGGUUUUGUAUGUGAGGAAGACACUUCAUGGAUUCUAUGUGGUAAAAAUCUCAUCAAUGUACACCAUGACUUCUAUCAAGACCCAAAUGCUUUACUUCGAAUGGGCAACUUUGCUUAGCCCAUUACGGUUGUGUAUAUGGUCUGCUCAUGUUGUUAACGGUAGAAUCGUCAUAUUGAGCUUGUAGUCCACGUGACGUACUCAUAUUGAAUGUAGUUAAUUUAUGUCUC